UUAGGAAUCUUGCGCAAUGGGCGAAAGCCUGACGCAGCAACGCCGCGUGUGGGAUGAAGGCUUUCGGGUUGUAAACCACUUUCAGCAGGAACGAAAUUGACGGUACCUGCAGAAGAAGCUCCGGCCAACUACGUGCCAGCAGCCGCGGUAAUACGUAGGGAGCAAGCGUUGUCCGGAUUUAUUGGGCGUAAAGAGCUCGUAGGCGGUUAAGUAAGUCAGGUGUGAAACCUCCAGGCUCAACCUGGAGACGCCACUUGAUACUGCUUUGACUUGAGUUCGGUAGGGGUAAGCGGAAUUCCUGGUGUAGCGGUGAAAUGCGCAGAUAUCAGGAGGAACACCGACGGCGAAGGCAGCUUACUGGGCCGAUACUGACGCUGAGGAGCGAAAGCGUGGGGAGCGAACAG
rnacentral:rRNA from 1 species